AAUUUGGAGCAUGAAUAGUAAUUAGUUGAAUAUACAUGUUGGACUUGGAACUUGAUUUAGGAGAAAACCAGCGAUUCGACCUGUCAUAUGAUUCUACUACCUGAUUUAGCUCUAGAAGCCGUGGUUUGAUUGUAUCACUACUGUUUCAGCGCGGUGGAUACUCGGCGUAGUUUAGAAUGCACUUACGCUGGUGCUGGGAUGCAGAGCUUAUUUUACAGCAGAGUCUAGGCUGUUUCGGGUUGUCGAGUGCUGUCGGGGUGG
rnacentral:lncRNA from 1 species